rnacentral:rRNA from 1 species
GAUGAACGCUGGCGGCAGGCCUAAUACAUGCAAGUCGAACGAGUGGCGGACGGGCGAGUAAUGUCUGGGAACCUGCCUGAUGUAGGCGGCUAACUACUGGAACCGGUAGCUACUACUGCUUAACUUCCGAUGUGAUCUGGUUGGAUUAGCUAGUAGGUGGGGAAAAGGCUCACAGAGGCGACGGUCCCUAGCUGGUCUGAGAGGAUGACCAGCCACACUGGAAAUGAGACACGGUCCAGACGCCUACGGGAGGCAGCAGUGGGGAAUAUUGCACAAUGGUCGCAAGCCUGAUGCAGCCAUGCCGCGUGUAUGAAGAAGGCCUUCGGGUUGUAAAGUACUGUCAGCGGGGAGGCGUUACCCGCAGAAGAAGCACCGGCUAACUCCGUGCCAGCAGCCGCGGUAAUAC